rnacentral:rRNA from 1 species
CACGUAGGCGGUGAAUCCGGUUGAAAGUGAAAGUCGGCAAAAAGUGGCGGAAUGCUCUCGAAACCAAUUCACUUGAGUGAGACAGAGGAGAGUGGAAUUUCGUGUGUAGGGGUGAAAUCCGUAGAUCUAGGAAGGAAUGCCAAAAGCGAAGGCAGCUCUCUGGGUCCCUACCGACGCUGGGGUGCGAAAGCAUGGGGACCAAACA